rnacentral:rRNA from 1 species
CCCGCAAGGGGGACACCGGCGAACGGGGUAGGAUCACGUAGGUGACGUACCCCCAGGGCGAGGAUAGCCACGGGAAACUGUGGGUAAUACUCGAUAACCUUCCCGAUCAUGAUCGGCUGGGAAGCAAUGGGUGUGAUUCCACCUGGGGAGCGGCUUACGCAGUAUCAGCUAGUUGGUGAGGUAACGGCUCACCAAGGCUUUGACGCUUAGGGGGUGUGAGAGCAUGGCCCCCACCACUGGCACUGAGACACUGGCCAGACACCUACGGGUGGCUGCAGUCGAGAAUCUUCGGCAAUGGACGAAAGUCUGACCGAGCGACGCCGCGUGCGGGAUGAAGGUCUUCGGAUUGUAAACCGCUGUCAGAGGGGAUGAAGUAUACGAGAGCUAUCUCUUGUAUUUGACAGAGCCUCAGAGGAAGCACGGGCUAAGUUCGUGCCAGCAGCCGCGGUAAUACGAACUGUGCGAACGUUAUUCGGAAUCACUGGGCUUAAAGGGUGCGUAGGCGGUUAUCUAAGUCACGUGUGAAAUCUUCCGGCUCAACCGGAAAACUGCGCGUGAUACUGGAUGACUUGAGUGAGGUAGGGGUGUGUGGAACUUCCGGUGGAGCGGUGAAAUGUGUAGAGAUCGGAAGGAACGCCAGCAGCGAAAGCGGCACACUGGGCCUUUUCUGACGCUGAGGCACGAAAGCUAGGGGAGUGAACGGGAUUAGAUACCCCGGUAAUCCUAGCCGUAAACACUGAACACUGGAGGAAGGGGGUUUCGGCCUUCUUUCUCGUAGCGAAAGCGUUAAGUGUUCCGCCUGGGGAGUAUGGUCGCAAGGCUGAAACUC